rnacentral:rRNA from 1 species
GAUACGUCACGUGAACUGCACUCUUCGUGAAUCAUUAAAUCUUUGAACGCAUAUGGCACCUCGAGGCACACGUCUCGAGGUAUACUUGUUUGAGCAUCCGAUACAUCCUCACUCUACCAUUGGCAGAAUGUGCAACUGAGUGUAGUUGGGAUCUAACACCCACCAGUAAAGGGGGGUAUUAUUUCUUUAAAAGCAGGCACAGUCAUGAUUUCUGGUCACACAACAUGGCUAUUCAUGGGAUAAUAUCCACGACGUGAAUGGCAUGUGUGUGACCACCUAUCUUAUGACAGCAAACCGACUCUCAUCAGAGAGCCAACUAACCAAUGAAACCGAUCUCAAAUCAAGUAAGAUGACCCGCUGAACUUAAGCAUAUCAAUAAGCGGAGA